GUCCAAGAAUUUCAUCCUGCAAUUCUCUAUCAUCAGUUCUUGCACUGGAAGCAACUUCAGAGGUUAUAUAAACUCUUGAAUAACUGUAGGAAACCACCAAUGAACAGUAGAACUACCAUGGUCCCCACGCCACCAUUUCCACCAAUAACAGAAAUUGCUCCUCCUUUGACUUCUAACCCACCAGUCCCUCCUACCCCUGACCGGCGGGGAGAUUCACUAUUCACGAAGUUCUGAAGGAACUCAUUAGCCCAAUGUAGCUUCUCCCUCCAGGAAUUCUUUAGUACCACAGCUGAAGAUCAAAGACAUUAUCUGGCUGCUCCCUGUACCACAGUGUGCCCUUUUCAAUAUCCUGGAUAAAAUGACAAUGAUUCAUUAAAAAUGUUUAUAUCACUAUAUUAUGCCCAAGUGG